rnacentral:rRNA from 1 species
AUGCAAGUCGAACGGUAGCACAGAGGAGCUUGCUCCUUGGGUGACGAGUGGCGGACGGGUGAGUAAUGUCUGGGAAACUGCCCGAUGGAGGGGGAUAACUACUGGAAACGGUAGCUAAUACCGCAUAACGUCGCAAGACCAAAGGGGGGGACCUUCGGGCCUCUUGCCAUCGGAUGUGCCCAGAUGGGAUUAGCUAGUAGGUGGGGUAACGGCUCACCUAGGCGACGAUCCCUAGCUGGUCUGAGAGGAUGACCAGCCACACUGGAACUGAGACACGGUCCAGACUCCUACGGGAGGCAGCAGUGGGGAAUAUUGCACAAUGGGCGCAAGCCUGAUGCAGCCAUGCCGCGUGUAUGAAGAAGGCCUUCGGGUUGUAAAGUACUUUCAGCGAGGAGGAAGGCGUUGUGGUUAAUAACCGCAACGAUUGACGUUACUCGCAGAAGAAGCACCGGCUAACUCCGUGCCAGCCGCCGCGGUAAAAGGG